CUUGAGAGGAGUCUCUCGCAUUAAUCCAGGUGGACCACAUUUCCCAGCCUCCUUGUGUUUUGGUGCACCCAUGUGACUGUCUUCUAACCAAUUUUAUUCGAGUGGAAAAGAUGUGGCCACUGCCUCAUCUGGCCCACAAAAGCCUUCCACGUGGCCCCUCCUCCUUCCCUCUGCAGCCACGCACACAGGAUCCAACGCAGAACUGGGUGGCCUGAGGAAAGGAUGGAGCCUAAGAUGGAAAGAGUCUGGGUCCUGAAUCCCCUUGUAGAAGACCGCCUGCUUAAACAGGCACUGAAAUGCCCCAGGAGCAAGAACUGAAACACCUACUGUGUUCAGCUGCUGAGAUUCUGGAGUUGCCUGAAGUAGCAGUCAACUUGCUUUGCCUAUUGCACAUAUACAUGCUCAUAUUUAACUCCAAUUACUUGAUUUAACAACACUCUACAAAGAUGUUUUGACAUGCUAAGAAAAAAAGCAAUGACCAAACAAGUACACAAUUAUUAUAAUUAAGUAAAAUAUGUGCUAUGUGGACAGAGACUAAAAAUAUGCAAAAUCAAAAAAAUUAAAGCUAUAAAGUGUUGGUAACAGUAAACUGUAUUUACAUUCAAAAAAGGAAAAAAAAAAAACUUUAUACAAAUUAUUUUUAAAUAAGAAUUGCCCAG
rnacentral:lncRNA from 10 species